rnacentral:rRNA from 1 species
UACGAAGGGGGCUAGCGUUGCUCGGAAUCACUGGGCGUAAAGCGCACGUAGGCGGAUUGUUAAGUCGGGGGUGAAAUCCUGGAGCUCAACUCCAGAACUGCCUUCGAUACUGGCGAUCUUGAGUCCGGGAGAGGUGAGUGGAACUCCGAGUGUAGAGGUGAAAUUCGUAGAUAUUCGGAAGAACACCAGUGGCGAAGGCGGCUCACUGGCCCGGUACUGACGCUGAGGCACGAAAGCGUGGGGGGCAAACAGG